rnacentral:rRNA from 1 species
GAUCAUGGCUCAGGAUGAACGCUAGCUACAGGCUUAACACAUGCAAGUCGAGGGGCAGCAUGAUCUUAGCUUGCUAAGGCCGAUGGCGACCGGCGCACGGGUGAGUAACACGUAUCCAACCUGCCGUCUACUCUUGGACAGCCUUCUGAAAGGAAGAUUAAUACAAGAUGGCAUCAUGAGUCCACAUGUUCACAUGAUUAAAGGUAUUCCGGUAGACGAUGGGGG